ensembl:lncRNA
AUGGGGUAUAAGGUCAUGAACCACGCUUCAGCCACUAAACUCAUGGAAUGGGACCUUCCCUGCUUUAGAUCUGACUACUCCUCCCCCAGCAACCACUACAAAUCAGCCUUGUCCAGAAAGACAAGCGGCACCACCAAUGUUAUUGGAGGACAAACUGGUACCAUCAGCCGGGUAGAGGAACAGAGACGUCACAAUAUAGAAGGAAAUAACAUCCAGGUGCUUUCCAAGCCAUCUGACGCUGAGCCUACUCCCACUAAGAUGCCCCCCUUCUUCCCCCUGCCUCCUUUCCCGCCUCCACCCUACAAUGUCAACUCUGCCCCUCCACUCAUUCCUCCACCACUAAUGUAUCUCGACAAUCGAUACCUCGAAUAUCCUUCAACUCUUGUCAAUGUAAAAAGGGCCUUACUUUCAUUGUGUGGGUGCAUCAUUAGUACAGUUGAGGGGUUUGAGGGACCAGAUGAAAGUGUAACCUUGAGAGUUGCAGGUGUAAAUCCCAUGCUGGGAACCCAUGAAGGACAGGCACCAUAAGUGGUAAUAAAUAACACUGCAUGUUGAAGGACAUGUUUAGGAUUUGGAGGUGAAUGCAGAUGGGUUAACAUAAACAUGUGGGUGUGUGUACAUUUGUGUGCACAUGGUCAUGAGUGUGCACUCUAUGGGUGAGUGUCUUUUUCCCCAGGUGUGUGUAAUUCUCUCCAGGUGUGUGGGUGCCAGUGCUUUCAGUCUGUCGGACUUCCUCCUCAUCGCCUGAUGAAUAUGAGGCAGAGGGCAGGAAGUCCCCCCUAGCCUGAGCUCACAGCUGAGCGCAGGCUGCCAUCGCUUCAUCUUCAAAGAUUCCAAAAUAGCACCCCUCACACACUCCCAGCACCCCCUAAGUUCAAUGAGCCCGGUACCGACAUGUUGUUCAACCUGUGCCAAAUAUCCUAAUACAACCAAAAUAUCAAACAUCCUGUUGACCCGGCAAACCUGGCUUUCCUUCUUUAAGUUACAGGCUCUGCCUCCUUUUGUGAUGCAAAUGUUUAACGUGAUAAAAAUAGCUCCUGGAAGAAAAGAAAAGUGCAGAGCCAGCAGAUUGGAGGGAGAGAGAGAGAGAGAACUUUGUUACUCUUGGUACAGUAGGGUCACAUUAGUGGUGUAGUAUUAUUGCUUGAUAGGGCCAGGUUUUAGCGUGGGGUUGUGUUGUCAUUGCAGGCCAGUCUGUGUAGUGAAGCACUAAGGGAUGCUGUCUGGAGCUCUAGUGUAGAACUGGUGGUACUGAUCAGUGUAGUUUGGCACAUACAUUGUGGUUAGUUUGACACCUGUACUGACUGAUAUGGCUGUGACGGUCUUGGAAUUUGAGGUUACGGUAAUUGGCCAGGCCAAUGUACAGACACCAACAUAAUCGUUCAAGAAUAUGCAUAUGCUUCCUAAUAAAACCUAUUUGAAACAAGCCAUUACACUUCGUUAUCAUCACGGCGAUUCAUUACUAUUAUUCAGGUUAUUACUUUUAAAUGUGGGAUUUUUGUAUCGACACAACAUCAGCAGAGUCAAAAUAAAGAUAUUCCUACCUUGUCUGUUGGCUUUUCUGCAUAUAUACACAAUCAAUCAAUCAGUCAAAUCAAAUGUAUUUAUAAAGCCCUUUUUACAUCAGCCGAUGUCACAAAGUGCUAUACAGAAUCAAAUCAAAUCAAAUCAAAUUUAUUUAUAUAGCCCUUCGUACAUCAGCUGAUAUCUCAAAGUGCUGUACAGAAACCCAGCCUAAAACCCCAAACAGCAAGCAAUGCAGGUGUAGAAGCACGGUGGCUAGAAAAACUCCCUAGAAAGGCCAAAACCUAGGAAGAAACCUAGAGAGGAACCAGGCUAUGUGGGGUGGCCAGUCCUCUUCUGGCUGUGCCGGGUGGAGAUUUAACAGAACAUGGCCAAGAUGUUCAAAUGUUCAUAAAUGACCAGCAUGGUCGAAUAAUAAUAAGGCAGAACAGUUGAAACUGGAGCAGCAGCACAGUCAGGUGGAAGUUGAAACUGGAGCAGCAGCAUGGCCAGGUGGACUGGGGACAGCAAGGAGUCAUCAUGUCAGGUGUCCUGGGGCAUGGUCCUAGGGCUCAGGUCAGUUGAAACUGGCAGACAGCAUGGCCAGGUGGACUGGGGACAGCAAGGAGUCAUCAUGUCAGGUAGUCCUGGAGCUCAGGUCCUAGGGCUCAGGUCCUCCGAGGAGAGAAGAAAGAGAGAGGAGAGAAUUAGAAAACGCACACUUAGAUUCACAACGGACACGAAUAG